rnacentral:lncRNA from 1 species
UUUUAAAGAGGAAAAGAGGAGAGGGAGAAGGGUAGUGAGAGAAAGAAGAGGGAAAGUAGGGAAGAGAGGGAAAAAAGGGCGGUUUUCUAAGAGAGUCAGGAAGAGAGGGAAAGAAGGGCGCGUUCUCUCUCUCUCUCUCUUUCUCUCUCCCCAUCUUGGAAUGGAGGGGCGGAGGGUUGCGGUGUUGCAGAGGAGAGAGAUUGUGUGGUUUUAGAGAGAGAAAGUUUGGAGAGAGAGCCAUGCAUGUUAUGCGACGUCUCAAGAGCAUUGCUUCUGGUCGCUCCUCCGUCUCAGAUCCUGUAAGUUUCGCAUUGUAAUUUCAUUUUCUAUCUCUAAGUCACAGACAGUUUGUGAGGCUCUGGUCCGUGUUUUGUCAGGUUUUUCACAUGGCAUUGGCAUUUGUACGACUGCUUUUUGAUUG